rnacentral:tRNA from 1 species
GCCAGGGUAGCUCAGUCGGUAGAGCACGUAUCAAUGCGUAUCCAAGGAAACGCUUACAGCAAUUUUUAAAAAGGACUUUUUAAUCCCGUGGUCGUGGGUUCGAGUCCCACCCUUGGCA